rnacentral:rRNA from 1 species
AACGAACGCUGGCGGCAUGCCUAAUACAUGCAAGUCGAACGAGAUCUUCGGAUCUAGUGGCGCACGGGUGCGUAACGCGUGGGAAUCUGCCCUUGGGUUCGGAAUAACGUCGGGAAACUGACGCUAAUACCGGAUGAUGACGUAAGUCCAAAGAUUUAUCGCCCAAGGAUGAGCCCGCGUAGGAUUAGCUAGUUGGUGAGGUAAAGGCUCACCAAGGCGACGAUCCUUAGCUGGUCUGAGAGGAUGAUCAGCCACACUGGGACUGAGACACGGCCCAGACUCCUACGGGAGGCAGCAGUAGGGAAUAUUGGACAAUGGGCGCAAGCCUGAUCCAGCAAUGCCGCGUGAGCGAUGAAGGCCUUAGGGUUGUAAAGCUCUUUUACCCGGGAUGAUAAUGACAGUACCGGGAGAAUAAGCCCCGGCUAACUCCGUGCCAGCCGCCGCAGUAA